rnacentral:tRNA from 1 species
GGGUCAGUAGCUCAGCUUGGUAGAGCACUUGGCUUUUAACCAAGUGGUCGCGGGUUCAAAUCCUGUCUGGCCCA